AAUCAGUGGAGAUGAGGAUAGUGAGGAGGAGGAAGACACAGGAAUGGGGGAAGUCGAUGUUGAGAAUGCAGGUCCUGGGAUCACUGAGUAAUGAUUGUUGUAGGAAUUUUGUAGGAACAGAGAAAAAGGUUUUCACUUUAAGAGACUGACACAUACUUGAGUUAUUACAGUUGGGGAAAUUAACAUGUCUGUAUUGUGCUCUCAUUCUUUCUCUUGAUAUCAAAUGAUAAAAGCUUAUGUGGUUCUCUUUUCGAGUGUAUUUUUGCUAUUGUCCAAAUCAUUUUCCUCCUAAAGUGAUUUUGUAAUGGAAAUAAGUCAUUUUUUUAAAAAAGGAAAUCUAAAAUCAUUCUAAAAUUUUAAAGAAUCGCUUGGUAGUUGCAAAUGCAGUGGUUAAACUCAAAGUAUUUGCAAGUAUAGCACAAUGUACAAGAGCUUGCAAAUAUAUCUUUGAGUGUAUUAGUGAGACUAUUUUGUUAAUAAGAGUAUCCAAUAGUUUUUUAUGUGAAGACACCAAAAUUGGCCAUCAAGAUCAUUUCUUUCCUCUUCAGAGGCUCUUCUUCUCAACAAUGUAGCAUCUUCAGAGGACUCUUUC